UGUAUGUGUGUGUGUGUGUGUGUGUGUGUGUGUGUGUGUGUGUGUGUGUGUGUGUGUGUGUGUUUGCGCGUGUGUGGAGAGCAAUUAAUGUUUUCAGAUUAGCUUUGAAGAGAUGCAUUUAUGAUUCAGAUGACGAGAUGACGUGGAUUCCUAUUCUUCUCAUUUGUAUUGGCCGCUUCUGCAGACAAAUAAAACUCUGUCUAAAUUGUGAUGAGAGCUAAUUGUACUCUAAAUACUUCCCUGUCAUUGUGAUUCACUGAUAUGAUUUUUAAUUCAAUCACUUGUCGACUCCUAAUGUUUCUGAUUUAACGAUUUUGCAGACACCGGAUUAUGAUAAAAACUUUUGUUUCAGAGAAGCGAUUUACUUCCCCCUCAAUGUUUUAGAAUUCCUCAUGUAAACUUCUUGACAUAUAAAACAGUAAAUACGAAAAGGUGGAAACGAAAUAGUAAUAAAGUUAUUUUUUGCGCUCUGUAGCACUUUGAA